rnacentral:rRNA from 1 species
AGUGAACGCUGGCGGUAGGCCUAACACAUGCAAGUCGAACGGCAGCACAGUAAGCGCUUGCUCUUACGGGUGGCGAGUGGCGGACGGGUGAGGAAUACAUCGGAAUCUUCUUUUUCGUGGGGGAUAACGUAGGGAAACUUACGCUAAUACCGCAUACGACCUACGGGUGAAAGCAGGGGUUCUUCGGACCUUGCGCGAUUGAAUGAGCCGAUGUCGGAUUAGCUAGUUGGCGGGGUAAAGGCCCACCAAGGCGACGAUCCGUAGCUGGUCUGAGAGGAUGAUCAGCCACACUGGAACGGAGACACGGUCCAGACUCCUACGGGAGGCAGCAGUGGGGAAUAUUGGACAAUGGGCGAAAGCCUGAUCCAGCCAUACCGCGUGGGUGAAGAAGGCCUUCGGGUUGUAAAGCCCUUUUGUUGGGAAAGAAAAGCAGCAGGUUAAUACCCCGCUGUUCUGACGGUACCCAAAGAAUAAGCACCGGCUAACUUCGUG